AGAUAGACUUCGAUUACUUGGGGUAUGCUAGGCAGAGGUUCCAGCCAUAUUGGUCGAAGAAAUCUGAGCUAUUGGGAUCAUCAGGUUCCAAGAAAGGUUAAUAUGAAAGCAAUGACUUCUUGAUCCAUUUGUUUGAUUUACAGAGUAGUAGUAGUUGUUAUCCGUUGGGGUUUUGCUUCAACAAGUACUUUUUUUUAAACUUCCGAAAACCGAGA
rnacentral:misc_RNA from 1 species